UCCCUGGUGGUCUAGCGGCUAAGGAUCCCGUGCUCUCACUGCCGCGGACCGGGUUCGAUUCCUGGGCAGGGAA